rnacentral:rRNA from 1 species
GACGAACGCUGGCGGCGUGCCUAAUACAUGCAAGUAGAACGCUGAAGGAGGAGCUUGCUUCUCUGGAUGAGUUGCGAACGGGUGAGUAACGCGUAGGUAACCUGCCUGGUAGCGGGGGAUAACUAUUGGAAACGAUAGCUAAUACCGCAUAAUAUUGACUAUUGCAUGAUAGUCAAUUAAAAGGUGCAAUUGCAUCACUACCAGAUGGACCUGCGUUGUAUUAGCUAGUUGGUGGGGUAACGGCUCACCAAGGCGACGAUACAUAGCCGACCUGAGAGGGUGAUCGGCCACACUGGGACUGAGACACGGCCCAGACUCCUACGGGAGGCAGCAGUAGGGAAUCUUCGGCAAUGGGCGGAAGUCUGACCGAGCAACGCCGCGUGAGUGAAGAAGGUUUUCGGAUCGUAAAGCUCUGUUGUAAGAGAAGAACGAGUGUGAGAGUGGAAAGUUCACACUGUG